UACGAAGGGGGCUAGCGUUGCUCGGAAUCACUGGGCGUAAAGGGUGCGUAGGCGGGUCUUUAAGUCAGAGGUGAAAUCCUGGAGCUCAACUCCAGAACUGCCUUCGAUACUGGGAGUCUCGAGUCCGGGAGAGGUGAGUGGAACUGCGAGUGUAGAGGUGAAAUUCGUAGAUAUUCGCAAGAACACCAGUGGCGAAGGCGGCUCACUGGCCCGGUACUGACGCUGAGGUGCGAAAGCGUGGGGAGCAAACAGG
rnacentral:rRNA from 1 species